UACGGAGGAUGCGAGCGUUAUCCGGAUUUAUUGGGUUUAAAGGGUGCGCAGGCGGGAUUUAAGUCAGCGGUGAAAUUUUCAGGCUCAACCUGAACACUGCCGUUGAAACUGGGAUUCUUGAGUAUGGAUGAAGUAGGCGGAAUUCGUUGUGUAGCGGUGACAUGCUUAGAUAUAACGAGGAACUCCGAUUGCGUAGGCAGCUUACUAAGCCAUAACUGACGCUCAAGCACGAAAGCGUGGGGAUCAAACAGG
rnacentral:rRNA from 1 species